AACAGACCAAUGUUCCGGGUUUCGAUUCGUUCAAUGUGUGGUUACCAUCAUUAGUCUGAAAAGGUGAGGUACAGUAUGUCAACAAUGCAUUUCCAUCACUCCACACCAAUGAAUCCGUCACUCCACACCACUGAAGUCUCAGCCAACAUCAUGGCAGCAGUAGGACUCCUCUGGCUUGUGAUCGCCACAGCCUCCAUCCUUGUCAAAUGUGAGGACGCAAAAUCUGAAGACAAAAACAUCUACCCAGCAAAGAUCUUUGGACCAUCUAAUGUGACUGAAGGAGUAAAUGUCAAUUUUAAAUGUAGCAUUACUGGCAUCAGAGGACCUGAGGACAAGUUAAAUGUUUACCUUUGCAAGAAUGGAGUUGGGAUAAGAAUUGCGAAGCUGGAGAAAGGAGAAAAUGAUGCUAUUUUCACCAUGAAGAAUGUUACAAGAGAAGACUCAGGCAACUACAGCUGUGUUUACACCAGAGAUAAACCUGUACCCAGUCACUUGAAGUCAACAGGGGAGAAUUUAAUAGUCUUUCAUGUCGAUGGAGAAUGGAAAGAGGGACUAAAGAAUGUGGGAGGACAAGGCAGAGCAGGACUGGCAGCAGCCUUGGUCCUCCUGUUCAUGACUCUGUCGUUACUGCUGUUACUGUGGAGGUGCUGGGGGAUCCUGAAACCAAG
rnacentral:lncRNA from 1 species